GAUGAACGCUGGCGGCGUGCCUAAUACAUGCAAGUCGAGCGAACAGACGAGGAGCUUGCUCCUCUGACGUUAGCGGCGGACGGGUGAGUAACACGUGGAUAACCUACCUAUAAGACUGGGAUAACUUCGGGAAACCGGAGCUAAUACCGGAUAAUAUAUUGAACCGCAUGGUUCAAUAGUGAAAGACGGUUUUGCUGUCACUUAUAGAUGGAUCCGCGCCGCAUUAGCUAGUUGGUAAGGUAACGGCUUACCAAGGCAACGAUGCGUAGCCGACCUGAGAGGGUGAUCGGCCACACUGGAGCUGAGACACGGUCCAGACUCCUACGGGAGGCAGCAGUAGGGAAUCUUCCGCAAUGGGCGAAAGCCUGACGGAGCAACGCCGCGUGAGUGAUGAAGGUCUUCGGAUCGUAAAACUCUGUUAUUAGGGAAGAACAAAUGUGUAAGUAACUAUGCACGUCUUGACGGUACCUAAUCAGAAAGCCACGGCUAGCUACGUG
rnacentral:rRNA from 1 species